rnacentral:rRNA from 1 species
CUCUGCCUACGGGGCGCAGCAGUGAGGAAUAUUGGUCAAUGGCCGGAAGGCUGAACCAGCCAAGUCGCGUGAGGGAAUAAGGCCCUAUGGGUCGUAAACCUCUUUUGUCAGGGAGCAAAGGCGUCCACGAGUGGACCAAAGGAGAGUACCUGAAGAGAAAGCAUCGGCUAACUCCGUGCCAGCAGCCGCGGUAAUACGGAGGAUGCGAGCGUUAUCCGGAUUUAUUGGGUUUAAAGGGUGCGUAGGCGGAGUGUCAA